UACGGAGGAUCCAAGCGUUAUCCGGAUUUAUUGGGUUUAAAGGGUGCGUAGGUGGUUCUUUAAGUCAGGGGUGAAAGACGGCAGCUUAACUGUCGCAGUGCCUUUGAUACUGAAGAACUUGAAUACACUAGAGGUAGGCGGAAUGUGACAAGUAGCGGUGAAAUGCAUAGAUAUGUCACAGAACACCGAUUGCGAAGGCAGCUCGCUAAACUGUAACUGACGCUGAGGCACGAAAGCGUGGGGAUCAAACAGG
rnacentral:rRNA from 1 species